rnacentral:rRNA from 1 species
GACAGAACCAUAUCUCGCUGUAGUUCUUGCCUGGUUUCCCACUGAAACUAAGCAGAGUUGAGUCUGGGCAGUACCUGGAUGGGAGAUCUCCUAGGGAAAACAGAGGUUGCUGUUG